CAGUACAACACGUAACAGUACACAAGACAAGGCAGAAAAGUGUGACACGAGUGCAGGACAUGGAACUCUCACUCAGCGGUGCGUCAGGUCUCGAUGUGCGCAGGAAGACUGCAGCAGCUGCAGAUCUGAACACACCUACUGAUCACAGAACAGUGCUCUGCGUUAAGAGGCCAAACUCAUGGGGAUAUAAACAAGAAUAAUUACUACUUCUCUCCGGCAUGUAACGCAUUUCACUCCUUUCUCUUCGGUCAGAAGAUAACAGAUCCCGCACAGCAGAGGUUCGAGGUUCCUAUAGAUGUUCCUGUGGUGGAAAAACGAGCUCCGAAUCCCUUGUACACAGUGGAGUUCUCCAAACAGCCGUUCG
ensembl:lncRNA